rnacentral:rRNA from 1 species
GGGGACGCCAGCAACCAUUGUUUUUCAAUACAUUUUUAUGAACGAAACACAAAGAAUUCUAGCCUUAUCGGUGGAUCACUCGGCUCGUAGUUCGAUGAAGAACGCAGCCAACAGCGAUAUUUAGUGUGAACUGCAGAAACUUUGAACACAAAGCCUUCGAAUGUACAUGACGCCUGAGGUGUUAAAUCCUCUGGCACGGCUGGUUCAGGGUCGUU